CCGGAAGCUCCGGCGACUCGGCGGCACCCGCCGCUUUGAGGUAGCGGGUCCCGGCAGGCGAUGGGCCCCUCGGGCUCCCGGGGGCGCGCCACGUGGGUGCUGGCCGGGGGCCUCCUGGCGGUAGCCCUGGCCCUGGGGGACCGAGGCUGUCUCGACGCCAGCUCAAGUCCCCGCUGGCGCCCCCUCGGCGCGCAGCCACCCCGGCAUCCCCAGGUGGCUCCCGGGUCUGGGCCCGGCCUGAGGACUCCUCCCGGGCGGAGCGGGGUGGGGCCCAAGAGCAGCACGCAGGACUUGCCCUGUAUGGUUUGGCCCAAAGUAGAAUGCUGUCACUUUAAGACUGCAGUGGAAGCACCACUUGGAAUGAAAUUGGACAAGAAAAUGGAAGUCUUUAUCCCACUCUCAACCUCUGCAGCCUCUAGUGGGCCAUGGGCUCAUUCCUUAUUUGCUUUUAUACCUUCCUGGCCUAAGAAGAACUUAUUUAAAAGAGAGUCUCCUGUAACACACCGCCUGUAUGGGGACAUUUCAAGAGAAGUUCAAGGGACUUCUGAGAAUGGAGUAAUUUUUCAGAAAUGUGCACUGGUGUCUGGGCCAAGCGAAGCACAGACAGCCCACAUAUGGCUGCUUGUUAACAACACCAAGACACCCUCGUCAGCCAACCUCUCGGAGCUUCUCUUGCUGGACAGCAUCGCUGGUCUCACUGUUCUGGAGUCCAUCGGAAACAAGACCUCGGAAGGAUUCCAGGCUUUUAGCAAGAAGUUUUUGCAAGUGGGAGAUGCCUUUGCUGUCAGCUAUGCAGCCACACUCCAGGCUGGAGACCUUGGGAACGGGGAGAGCCUCAAGCUUCCUGCCCAACUUACCUUUCAGAGCUCGUCACAGAACAGAACACAGCUGAAAGCGCUUUUUUCCAUAACAGCAGAAGAAAGCAUAACGGUUCUGCCGCACCACGGCCUCCAUGCAGCGGGGUUCUUCAUUGCCUUCCUCCUCUCCCUUGUGCUGACCUGGGCUGCCCUCUUCCUCAUGGUUCACUAUCAGUGUCUGAAGGGAAGCAUGCUCACCAGACAUCAGGUUUGGCAGUACGACAGCAAGCUGGAACCCUUGCCGUUCACCUCAGCUGAUGGCGUGAAUGAGGACCUUUCCCUAAACGACCAAAUGAUAGACAUUCUGUCUUCCGAGGACCCUGGUAGCAUGCUUCAAGCCUUAGAAGAGUUGGAGAUUGCAACCCUGAAUCGAGCAGAUGCAGAUCUGGAGGCUUGUCGAACACAAAUCAGCAAGGAUAUCAUUGCCCUUCUACUGAAAAAUCUCACCAGCAGUGGCCACCUCUCACCCCAAGUAGAGAGAAAAAUGAGUGAUGUUUUCAAAAAGCAGUUUAUGUUGCUGGAAAAUGAAAUACAAGAGGAGUACGAUCGGAAGAUGGUGGCAUUGACAGCUGAAUGUGACCUGGAAACAAGAAAGAAGAUGGAAAACCAGUACCAGAGAGAGAUGAUGGCAAUGGAGGAAGCAGAAGAGCUGCUGAAACGUGCUAGUGAGAGGUCUGCUGUAGAGUGCAACAGCCUUCUGCGGACCCUCCAUGGCCUGGAACAGGAGCACUUGAGGAAGUCUCUCGCUUUGCAGCAAGAAGAAGACUUUGCCAAAGCUCACAGACAGCUAGCUGUUUUCCAGAGAAACGAACUGCACCGUAUCUUUUUUACCCAGAUAAAAAGUGCUAUUUUGAAAGGGGAAUUGAAGCCAGAGGCGGCUAAAACGCUGCUGCAAAAUUAUUCUAAAAUACAGGAGAAUGUAGAAGAGUUAAUGGACUUUUUCCAGGCUAGUAAGAGGUAUCAUCUAAGUAAAAGGUUUGGCCACAGGGAAUAUCUGGUUCAGAACCUCCAGUCAUCAGAGACCCGUGUGCAGGGCCUUCUGAGCACCGCUGCAGCCCAGCUGACUCACCUCAUUCAGAAGCACGAGAGAGCAGGGUACCUGGAUGAAGACCAAAUGGAAAUGCUAUUGGAGCGGGCUCAGACAGAAGUCUUUUCAAUCAAGCAGAAGUUGGACAAUGACUUAAAGCAGGAAAAGAAAAAACUCCAGCAAAAAUUAAUAACUAAGAGAAGACGAGAGUUGCUACAAAAGCACAGGGAGCAGCGGAGGGAGCAGCUCUCCAUCAGCGAGGCCUUUCAAGCGGUUGAGGAUGCCGGCCAGUACCUGCGCCAGAGGAGGAGCCUGAUGGAGGAGCAGGGCGCCGCCCUGGAGGAGCUGCAGGAGCGUCUGGACCAGGCUGCCCUGGACGAUCUCAGGGCCCUGACCCUCUCGCUGUUUGAGAAGGCCACCGAUGAGCUGCGGCGCCUGCAGAACUCAGCCAUGACCCAGGAGCUGCUCAAGCGCAGCGUGCCCUGGCUCUUCCUGCAGCAGAUCCUGGAGGAGCACGGCAAGGAGAUGGCCGUGCGGGCCGAGCAGCUGGAGGGGGAGGAGAGGGACAGGGACCAGGAGGGUGUCCAGAGCGUGAGGCAGAGACUGAAGGACGAUGCUCCUGAGGCCGCCACGGAGGAGCAGGCGGAGCUGAGACGCUGGGAGCACCUGGUCUUCAUGAAGCUCUGCUCCUCAGUCUUCUCCCUGUCUGAAGAGGAGCUGCUCCGGAUGAGGCAGGAGGUCCAUGGCUGCUUUGCUCAGAUGGACAGGAGCUUGGCCCUCCCCAAAAUCCGGGCCCGAGUUCUGCUGCAGCAAUUUCAGACUGCGUGGCGAGAAGCAGAGUUCCUGAAGCUGGACCAGGCCCUGGCUGCCCCCGAGCUGCAGCAACAGUCCAAGGUGAGAAAGUCACGGUCCAAGAGUAAAAGCAAGGGAGAGCUUCUGAAGAAGUGCAUCGAAGACAAAAUUCACCUCUGUGAGGAACAGGCCUCUGAAGACCUGGUGGAAAAGGUUCGAGGGGAAUUGCUGCGGGAGAGAGUGCAGCGGCUGGAGGCACAGGAGGGAGGCUUUGCACAGUCGCUUGUUGCUCUGCAGUUCCAGAAGGCGGCCCGGGUGACCGAGACCCUGUCAGCCUACACCGCCCUCCUCAGCAUCCAGGACUUGCUCCUGGAAGAGCUAAGUGCGUCUGAGAUGCUGACCAAGUCGGCCUGCACGCAGAUCCUGGAAUCGCACAGCCGGGAGCUCCAGGAGCUGGAGAGGAAGCUGGAGGACCAGCUGGUGCAGCAGGAGGCGGCCCAGCAGCAGCAGGCCCUGGCGAGCUGGCAGCAGUGGGUGGCCGAUGGGCCCGGGAUUCUGAACGAACCUGGGGAGGUGGAUUCUGAACGACAGGUCUCUACUGUCCUGCAGCAAGCCCUGAGCAAGAGCCAGACGUUACUGGAGCAACGUCAGCAGAGUCUGAGAGAGGAGCAACAGAACAGUGUCGUGCUAGAAGACUUGCUGGAAAAUAUGGAGGCAGACACCUUCGCAACCCUGUGCAGCCAGGAGCUGAGACUGGCAUCGUACCUGGCGAGGAUGGCCGUGGUGCCCGGGGCCACGCUUCGCCGGCUCCUGAGUGUGGUGCUGCCCACGGCCUCACAGCCUCAGCUGCUGGCCCUGCUGGAUUCGGGUAGCGAGAGACAUCCGGACCACGCAGCUGAGGGCGAUGGCGGAGCGGAGCAGGCCGAUGUGGGCAGGCGGAGGAAACACCAGAGCUGGUGGCAAGCCUUCGACAGCAAACUGCGAGGAAAUCUGAUAAGCAGAGGAUUAGAAAAGAUGCUGUGGGCCCGCAAGAGAAAGCAGAGGGCAGCAGAGUGGAGAAUGCAUGGUCUUGGGAAUAAGCAGACUGGAGUUCUCAUCCUGCACCACUGCUUGAUGGCCACGUGUUCUUGGCAAGCAGAUACAAUUGGAUCUGUAAAGUCCACCACAUCUAUGUCCUUCUCCAGCUUUUUAAGGUGAAGGCUAUUUUCUUGAAGGGCUGUAUCUUCACACAGAAGCCUACUCAUGAGAGAGAAGCUCCAAGGAACUUGGAUUUAGAGGACUUGAGCUCAGACGCUAUGCUAAGUGCCAGACCACUGUGAACUGCAGAGGAAAAACCAGGAUGUCAGAACUCUUCCACCGGUGGGGAUAUUAGAGGCCACAAAGCCUCCAUCACUCAACGCAAUUGCAUCUAAAAAAUAAUUUUCUGCGGACCACAUGGAGGUCAUAUUCUCCCAGAAGCAGAGCCUGAGCCAAGGAUUCAAUGCAAAGGAUUUGUCGAGGAAGCGCUCCCAAGAUGUACCAGUGAGGCAGUGGAGGGUAGAGGACGAAUAGGGGAGGAGAAGAGACUCAACAAGUGUAUCAUCUUGGGUGACACCCCAGCCUCAUCUUGGUCUUAAGUGGUGUGCUGAAGCAGAGAUGAUAUCUCAGGGUUUGUCCUCUCCAAGGCACAGGUGCUGGGCUUUUGUAUUCCCACACUGGUGGUCACUGGCUGUGGGUUAGGGGGGAUGGGAAGGGCUGAGAGUGAGUUGCCAAGUUGUUCCAGCUCUCCAGGGAAGGCCCCAGUGCUCACUGACAGGGAAAAAAAUUGUUAAAAAUUGGUUCUUUGAAUUGUGAGUCUUAUGAAUUUGCUUCUGGAUGUCCAUUGGUAAUUGAUCCACAGCCUCCCAGGAAGUCCUUGUUUUUCUUAGCAUCAGGGCAUGCAGGAGCUGGGCUGGAUGCACAGGGCUAGUAAAAGGCUUCAGAGGGGGGUCUGAGCUGGGCACCCUCAGAGUCUGCUAUGUUUUUCUUUAAGAAUUGAGAGAGCGCAGUAAAAAAAAAAAAAAAAAAAAUAGGAUUGCAUUGAUUCUUUUCAUGCAGACUCCAUGAUCUGGACAGAAAGUGACCUUCAUUGAUGCAUUCCAGUUGAGUGAGCACUGGAGACUGUCGCACUGGGGUUUGGGUCAAAGUUCCAGCUGGCAGCAAAGCAUUCUGGCUCUGUUUUAUCUGCAGCGUCUGCAGUUCCUAUAUGUGGAGGGAAGAAGGCUGGUGUUCCCUGGUCUCCUUUUAUAUAAUUAUAAAAUGAGCUUUUAUAAUUAUAAAAGCAAUGCAUGAAAAUAAACAAAAUCAACAUUCCCGAAGGGGCUAAAAUAUGCUAUUUUGGUAGGUUGACUAUUCAGUUAAAGGCACUUGAAAAACAGCAGGUGCAAGGAGAUCAGUCUGAACUUCAUUUUCUUAAAAGCAGAAGAUGAAAUUCCCGUAUGAAAGAUGUCAUCCCUACACUAGAGAAAAAGCAAGGUUCUUAUCAUCAGGGACAAGAAAGUUGAAGUGGAAUGAAUUCUGUACAAACAAGCCUUGUUCAACUAACUCUUGUCAUGCUGGCUACUUCUCUAUCCAGUUAACCACCCUAGCCCAAGACCUUUUGCCUGAUCACAUGUUUACAGUUCAUAAUUCUUUGUCAAAUCUGGUAUAGAAUUAACUGACUCUGACAGCUUCUUUGGGUCUUUAUUUCUUUAUGAGGCUCCUAUGCUAUGUAAAACUUGUAUUGUGCUUUGCUCCUGUUAAUCUAUGUUAUGUCAAUUUAAUUCUUGGACCCACCUGGGACCCUAAAAGGGUGAAGGAAUAUUCUUCUGUCCCAACAGUUUCUGUCCUAAAAGGCUGAGCACCUUCUGAUUCACUGUGGAGCCUGCAAAUGGGAUCCUGAGGGGCCUAAUAAACGAUAGAAGAAAGUAGCAAUUCUUAUCAAGGUCAGCUCUCCUGGAUUUCUGUCCGUAGCGUCCAGUUGAAAGAAGAAGAAUAACAAAAGAUAUUUGGAUCUGUUAAUAAAUAUGUCCUGUGCCACACCGAAAAAUUGUUCAACAAUAAAGCAUAUAUAUUUCAGGA